ensembl:lncRNA
AUUGGUCUUGUCUACAAUAUGUAAUUCAUAUUCUGUCCAAAGGUUUUUCAUAUUUUUUGGCAUUAGGUUGCCAUUAAACCCACAGUCCUUAUAGUUUCCAAAGCAUUUUUCUUCAUGCUUAGCACCUAUUUUUCCUCACUUACUCUUUCAAACCAGCAAAAAUUACUAGUUGGGACUUGUUUCAGGCUUUUGACAGCUGCGAAAUGCUGCUAUUCAUUGUUGGAGUUCUCCUGAAUGUUAAAGCAGUUGUGACCCUGGUAGAGCCAGCACCAUUGGCAGACGACUGUGCAACACAGGACUACAGGACUACAUACAUAAAGACCAUUAAAACAACUUACUUUUGUCAGUCAGUGGCAAGAUCAACAAUUCUUUGUCAGGGGUCACAUUUUUUCAGAAGUGCCAGUGUGCAGUGUAAUUUAAAUCUGAAUUACUGAUUAUUUUACUAUUUUCUCUCUUUUUUCAGGUAUCUGUAGACUCUGUGUUCUCCAGGAGAUCUCAGCUGAUCUCAGAUCUGUGUCUCCUGGAGAAAUCAUCACCCUGCACUGCAGCAUUUCUGCAGAUUAUGAGAUUUCAUGGUAUCAUCAGCACUCUGAGCAGCAGAUGAAGCUGCUGGUCUCUGCUGCACGAGGAAAACUGAAUAAAUCAUUUUCAUACAGUUUUAAUUUAAAUACAGAUCAUUUUGAGAUAGUUGAGAACAGCAGUUCAGUGAGUUUAGUGAUUAAAGGAGUUAAUGAUACAGAUCUGGGACUGUAUCACUGUGGAGGAAGAAACACAUCAUCACUCCUACAGUUCAGGAAACCAAUCAGGCUCACCUUUAAUUCAGAUGAGAUUAAUAAUAAAUCUGAAGUACAGCGUAAUCUGACGGAGCCGGUGAUUAGUGAGAACUCUGCAGGGUGUGGGUUCUCCUGGACUCUGGUUCUGGUUCUGACGUGUAUCUGUGUGAUCUGUGUUCUGAUGAGCAUCCUCUGUAUCUGUGGAUUCUUCUGCAGGAUGAAACACGGUAAGAUUAGAAAUACAAAAGAACGCCUUAGUAACCACCUAGAAAAAGUUAGCAACUGCCUAGCAACCACUUAGCAACACAACAAAACAAUUAUCUUUUUUUUUUCAGGAACAACAACGCCGUCUUGCAGCUGCUGCCGCAAAACAAGAGAAAAGGUAAAGCUACAGGAAACACUCGUUAUAUUUAUUUUGUUAAUAUAUAUUUUACUGCAGUAAUUUAU